ACCCACCCCACUACCCCCACUACCAGCUCCGCCGCCGCCGAGCCCAGCACCCGCUCCGAUUUCUGUUCCUGGCGGCGCACCACCCAAUCCCGGCGCCUAGUCGCCGGCUCGCCGCUCCCUCCCGCAGACGCGCCCCACCACCGAAGCUGGUUUCUGUUUUGCAGCUCGGGAUUUGAUCGGUUCCGUUCCCGACUCCGUAGCUCCCAUCGGCGCUCCGCGACGUCGCUCGGUCCUCCCGUCGCCGUCGCCCCCAGGAGAGUACCUGCCGACGGCACCCAGAUCCUGCGACCCUAUCCUCCUUGGGCCUGCCUUUCCUUAGCACGCCCUCCAUCUCCGGUUGCUCGCAUCCACCCGAACACCGACCGGCGAUUCAAGUUCAUCCGCUGCCGAUUCGUGCCGGUCCGCGCUGAUUCGUCAUCCUCCACACGAGGUCCUACCCCGCUCAAGCUACCCCCGACGCCUGCUCAAUAUUGGAUAAAUCGCUGGUGAUUCCCCUACCGGCGCAAGGCCACGCUGUGUGGAUCGAGGACGCGAACGACAGCGGCCAUUUUCGGCCUGGAAGCUUGCUCACCCUCACCUGAGCUGUCGAAUCAUUGGGGAUGUCCUCUCCAGAUGCAUAAGGUAUCAGAUCGAGUUGGAUUUCAGCACCAAGAAUUGCACCUGCUGCAUUCAAAGCGAAGGCAUCACAGUUUGGCUAGUGCUGGAUCUAGAUCUCAGCCUUGGCCUCGGUGAAAUGCAAGGUAGCGAGGAUGCCGGCUAUGGGAAUCCCGGCAUGCUCCACACUCACGGACAGAGCUGCACCGUACAGACGCAGAUUCGUCUGCAAUUGAGAUCGAGUACACAUGCUGGAUGGAGGAUUUGAGCUAGCAGUAAACGGUGGAGUACAUUGUUGAUCCCAUUUGCUUUGCUAACUGAACUAGCCUUUGGUUAGUUUUCUGAAAUCUUCCUGUCAGUUUAGAAAAUAAUAUUGGUUUACCGUAUAGGUAAUUCAGUACCUAAUGCGAGUAGAUAUAUUUCCAAGAGCAAUUUUCUUUUGAUUUUUGUUUACACAACUGAUUCAUACCAGAUUGUAGGUUAAAGUGCAUUGGAAGUUCUGACAAUUUCCCUGUAUAUAUGUUCUUGCAGUAUAGCUGUAGACUUUAGCUAUGGAGUAGUGUUUAUGGCAAUGCUUUUCGCAAACAAAGUAUUUCUUAUGCAGGACAUUCACUCCAUGAUCCUGCUCACUGUACAGAUGUGCAGAGCAAGGAGAAGAAUAUUGGAAGGCCAUCAGGGAGGUUGCCAAGUGAAACGACAUGGGAUAUGCAAAGGUUGUUGACUGGAGAGAGAUCGCAGGCCUGCCAGAUAGUUGCAGAUAGCUAGGCAUCUCUAUCUAAAUUGUGUGCACUAGCAUAGCAGUAGUAGUAGCAGUAGCAACGGAUAACCGUCAGCUCAUCAAUCAUGCCUGUGUUUGCUUGCCUGUGAUGGUUCAUGUCUUUCUGAGACAUCCAUUUGCCUGCCUGUGAUGUAAUCCUUUCUAAGCCUUGUGGUGUGAUGAUAUGUUCCGAAGAAAUCAUGCUUGUGCCAAGGCCGGUGUACUCAUGUUGUUCCUUUUCUUCACUUGUAUGGCAAUCAUUGGGUUGAUUCUAGAUUUAAGAUAUGCAAUUCUUUGCAGAUAAUGAUAUUUACAAUGUGAUAAUGGCAUUUGCAAA